rnacentral:rRNA from 1 species
GACGAACGCUGGCGGCGUGCUUAACACAUGCAAGUCGAACGGAAAGGCCCUGCUUUUGUGGGGUGCUCGAGUGGCGAACGGGUGAGUAACACGUGAGUAACCUGCCCUUGACUUUGGGAUAACUUCAGGAAACUGGGGCUAAUACCGGAUAGGAGCUCCUGCUGCAUGGUGGGGGUUGGAAAGUUUCGGCGGUUGGGGAUGGACUCGCGGCUUAUCAGCUUGUUGGUGGGGUAGUGGCUUACCAAGGCUUUGACGGGUAGCCGGCCUGAGAGGGUGACCGGCCACAUGGGGACGGAGAUACGGCCCAGACUCCGACGGGAGGCAGCAGUGGGGAAUAUUGCACAAUGGGCGGAAGCCGGAUGCAGCAACGCCGCGUGCGGGAUGACGGCCUUCGGGUUGUAAACCGCUUUCGCCUGUGACGAAGCGUGAGUGACGGUAAUGGGUAAAGAAGCACCGGCUAACUACGU